rnacentral:rRNA from 1 species
UACGUAGGGUGCAAGCGUUAAUCGGAAUUACUGGGCGUAAAGCGUGCGCAGGCGGUUUUGUAAGUCAGAUGUGAAAUCCCCGGGCUUAACCUGGGACUGCGUUUGAAACUACAAGGCUAGAGUGUGGCAGAGGGGGGUGGAAUUCCACGUGUAGCAGUGAAAUGCGUAGAGAUGUGGAGGAGCACCGAUGGCGAAGGCAGCCCCCUGGGUUAACACUGACGCUCAGGCACGAAAGCGUGGGGAGCAAACAGG